rnacentral:rRNA from 1 species
GACGAACGCUGGCGGCGUGCUUAACACAUGCAAGUCGAACGGAAAGGCCCUGCUUUUGUGGUGUGCUCGAGUGGCGAACGGGUGAGUAACACGUGAGUAACCUGCCCUUGACUUUGGGAUAACUUCAGGAAACUGGGGCUAAUACCGGAUAGGAGCUCCUGCUGCAUGGUGGGGGUUGGAAAGUUUCGGCGGUUGGGGAUGGACUCGCGGCUUAUCAGCUUGUUGGUGGGGUAGUGGCUUACCAAGGCUUUGACGGGUAGCCGGCCUGAGAGGGUGACCGGCCACAUUGGGGCUGAGAUACGGCCCAGACUCCUACGGGAGGCAGCAGUGGGGAAUAUUGCACAAUGGGCGGAAGCCUGAUGCAGCAACGCCGCGUGCGGGAUGACGGCCUUCGGGUUGUAAACCGCUUUCGCCUGUGACGAAGCGUGAGUGACGGUAAUGGGUAAAGAAGCACCGGCUAACUACGUG